GUUUUGUCGUCACUGAGAAAAAGCCUUUUUAUGUAUUGAAAGUCAAUGAUUAGCACGGCCCCUCCGCAAGGAUGACAUGCAAAUUUAUGAAACGUUCCAUAAUUUU